rnacentral:misc_RNA from 1 species
AACCUUAUGGACCUGCGGGCGUAUACCUGCGGAAGGAUCAUUACCGAGUUAUACAACUCAUCAACCCCUGUGAACUUACCUACAACGUUGCUUCGGCGGGAACAGACGGCCCCGUAAAACGGGCCGCCCCCGCCAGAGGACCCCUAACUCUGUUUUUAUAAUGUUUUUCUGAGUAAACAAGCAAAUAAAUUAAAACUUUUAGCAACGGAUCU